GAUGAAGAACGCAGCGAAAUGCGAUAAGUAAUGUGAAUUGCAGAAUUCAGUGAAUCAUCGAAUCUUUGAACGCACAUUGCGCCCGCCAGUAUUCUGGCGGGCAUGCCUGUCCGAGCGUCAUUUCAACCAUCAAGCCCCCGGGCUUGUGUUGGGGACCUGCGGCUGCCCGCAGGCCCUGAAAACCAGUGGCGGGCUCGCUGUCACACCGAGCGUAGUAGCAAUCACCUCGCUCAGGGCGUGCUGCGGGUUCCGGCCGUUAAACAGCCUUACAAAACCCAAGGUUGACCUCGGAUCAGGUAGGAAGACCCGCUGAACUUAAGCAUAUCAAUAAGCGGAGG
rnacentral:misc_RNA from 1 species